rnacentral:rRNA from 1 species
CACGUAGGGUGCGAGCGUUGUCCGGAAUUAUUGGGCGUAAAGAGCUCGUAGGCGGUGUGUCGCGUCGGCCGUGAAAACCUGCAGCUUAACUGUGGGCUUGCGGUCGAUACGGGCAUCACUAGAGUUCGGCAGGGGAGACUGGAAUUCCUGGUGUAGCGGUGAAAUGCGCAGAUAUCAGGAGGAACACCGGUGGCGAAGGCGGGUCUCUGGGCCGAUACUGACGCUGAGGAGCGAAAGCGUGGGGAGCGAACAGG